rnacentral:lncRNA from 1 species
GUCGCAUUUAGUUGGAGCUGCAGGAGAGAGACAGAGAGAUUCUCUGUGUUUACAGCCAGCGCAGGCUACGGCGAACAUCUAACCUGGCCCCCCUUCCUCCCGCACUUGGAGGGGAGAGUGCGAGGCUGUUUGGGAAUCUGGCCACCGCGGGUCAGCCCUGCCUGUGACUGGAUUGCCAGGGCUGGUAGAGCAGAGCCCAGGGGGACCGAAGGGAAACACACAUCCCGUUUUAUUUGAGAGGGGAAGAGGAGGAAAAAAAAAAUAAUAAGAAAAAGAAACUGAGAGAGGAGGGAAGAGACGGAGAAAAAGGCAGAGGAAGCGGAGCGAGUGAGAGAGGAGAAGCAUGAGGACCUACUGGCUGCACAGUAUCUGGGUGCUGGGAUUCUUCCUGUUCCUCUUCUUUCAAGGGCUUCCUCCCUCUCUUGUUUGGUUGUGUCCUAUGAAAAAGCAGGCACUGUGUUGCAGUGGAGUAGAACACGGUCCUAGAGUGAGCAGGUUAGACAUAUUUUUCUGUGGAGAGAGAUCACUUUUUCUGCUGGGCUUCAUUUUGCAGC